GGUUGGGGAGGGUACGGAGGGCGGGGGCGAGCGGAGACAGCCAAUCCGCGGAGCCACGGGUGAGGCCAGACACCUAGUCCCACGGGGAUUGAAUUAUCCUCCUACACCGCCCCCCCCCAGCCCUGGGGAAGGGUGGGGCGAGGAAUGAAAGCCUCCCCAGCCCCGCCCACGCUCACGCACCUGUCGCCGGCUGCGCUCACCGGAGACCCAUGGAUCAAUCGCCAGCCCAAGGUCGGUAGGCAACGCAAGGAAACCGGUGAUCCUCCCAAAGCAUGAAGGGACCAGUAUUUUCGUUCCCUGGGGACGGUGCUGAAGACCCAGGUAAACCUCAGAUCACAGACCUCCACCGAGUGCGUGCUGCGGCCUCAACAAUAUAUGCACUCAAGGACGGAGGGGAAAGAAAGGGACUUCCUUGUGAUGUGUUAGGGACAUGCCAUCUUUCAUCUUUACAGUCACCCUGUGAAAAGGCUUCUCCCCAUUUUACAGAUGAACGAGUUGAAGCUUAGGCAGCUUAGGUCACUUGCCCCAAAUCACCCAGCUUAAAAAAAAAAAAUGGUGGAAAUAUUUGAGUUUGGGUCUGUCCAACUAGGAACCAUACAAGGAGAACAGACGGGGGACUGAAGUAGAAUCUGCCACCGCGGAGGGAAAUGGCCUGGAGACAGUUUGAUGCCAAGCUGACCUGGGAAUGGUAGAGCCUUUCCAGGCCCGUGAGUUUGUGAUUCUGAGAUAGGGGUUACUGGGAAUAGAAAGGAUCCUAAGAAUCAAUGAGGAUUUAGAUUAGAAUUUUAAAAACGAAGUAAGAAAUCAGAGAAUUGUACCCCGUGACGGAUUUCUUGAAAAGAUUUUUUGAAAGUACUCUUUUUACAUUAGAAUUGGGGUUACCAGUGAUUUACUCCAGCUAUUUGAAUCAAGAGAUGUAUUUUUUGGUGUAAUUAUUAAUAUCCGAAAAUUUGUGGCUUACAGUUUGGAGCAUGCAUCACCUGGCAGCCACAUGGUGGCAGUGUUUCCUAAUUGUUGAAAAAGUUCCUGCAAAUAAAAGAAACACAGCUUCUGGAUCAGUGAAAACUAUGAGCCUAACAAGACAACAUGACCUUUGCUGGCUCUCCAAUGGCUAAAGGAGGGAAAAGCCCACAAUCCUCUACUUUGAGUGGCCCCACCCACCUCUGGCUUUCGGACUUCUCCCGACACCCCAGCUUCCACGUCAGGGGACCCGGAUGGUGGAGGAAGCACCCAGCUAAAGUCUUUGAGCCUGUGACAGAAAAUAUCUGACUCCCUGCUGCGACCUCCACCACAGCUGUGGCUGGUGCCCCUUCCAGGGAGAAUGAGCACACGCCACCAAGGUUAAGGUGAUCAGGAGCAAGACCCUGGACUUGGAUUUGGAGACAGAAGUGAAUGAAGCAGUCCUUUUGCAGCCACUGGGCCUAGAAACUCCUGCCGCUGCCCCGCAGCUACGUUGCACAGGAACCGCAGUGGGCUGGCUGGACCGUCCCCGACCCCCCUGCUGGCAUCUGAAGACACCUGGGGGCGACUGGAAAACCAGAGAUUCCUCGGGAGCAGACUGUUCCUGGGACUCUGUCUCAGCUUAGAAGGACCUCAGGCACCUGGCAGAAGCAAAGACACAUCCCCUCUGGGGGAAUAUACCACUGGACCAGACCUGAAAGAAUCUUGAGAGACAAAGUUUCAAAACUAAGAGGAUAUAAGGUAAAACAAGAAUAAUACAAAAGAAAGUCACAAAAGAGGACACAAAAGAAACAGAGCCCCAGGGGUGAGUCAGCAGAAAGAGCCAACGGUGAGCCAGUUUAUGUUUAGACCUUGGAAUUAUUGGAAACAUAUGAAAUAAAUAUAUCUAAUAUGUUUAAAUAAGCCAAAGAGAGUUUGAAAAUAUGUAUAGGAAAAAAAAUUAUCAAGGGGAUUAGAGAGACUUCCAGUGGGGAGUGCUCACAGCUGCUGUUGCCACUGCAGGCACAACAGUGAGGCUGAGACACCAGCUGGUCCACUGCGGUGUGGUUGCUGGGGCUGGCAGGUGUCUCAGCACGUGGGUGCAGACACCACCAAGGUAGGUGACUUCCACUCAGAGGAGCGGAGUAACUGGGUUGAGUCACCUCAGCUUCCAAACAGAAGAUCAGGAGUUUGAGUCAUUGGCUACUUUAGUGGAAUUCUACCAAAUGCACCAUUUAGGCACUAGAGCAUUGAUAGACCCAGUUCCCAAGGUCAGGCAGGGACGUGGAGUGAUUCUCAGGCUGGAAGAGCCUGAGCAUGGGUGGCCCACCCCUCUUUGACUUUAAGAAAGGAGACCCCCUGGGAGUUCCCGUCGUGGCACAGUGGAAAUGAAUCCGACUAGG